AACGAACGCUGGCGGCAGGCCUAACACAUGCAAGUCGAGCGAGGACUUCGGUUCUAGCGGCGGACUGGUGAGUAACGCGUGGGAAUGUGCCCUUCUCUACGGAAUAGCCCUGGGAAACUGGGAGUAAUACCGUAUACGCCCUAUUGGGGAAAGAUUUAUCGGAGAAGGAUCAGCCCGCGUUGGAUUAGGUAGUUGGUGGGGUAAUGGCCUACCAAGCCGACGAUCCAUAGCUGGUUUGAGAGGAUGAUCAGCCACACUGGGACUGGGACACGGCCCAGACUCCUACGGGAGGGAGGAGUGGGGGAUCUUAGACAAUGGGGGCAACCCUGAACGAGCCAUGCCGCGUGAGUGAUGAAGGCCUUAGGGUUGUAAAGCUCUUUCAGCUGGGAAGAUAAUGACGGUACCAGCAGAAGAAGCCCCGGCUAACUCCGUG
rnacentral:rRNA from 1 species